AGUGAACGCUGGCGGUAGGCCUAACACAUGCAAGUCGAACGGCAGCACAGUAAGAGCUUGCUCUUACGGGUGGCGAGUGGCGGACGGGUGAGGAAUACAUCGGAAUCUACUUUUUCGUGGGGGAUAACGUAGGGAAACCUACGCUAAUACCGCAUACGACCUACGGGUGAAAGCAGGGGAUCUUCGGACCUUGCGCGAUUGAAUGAGCCGAUGUCGGAUUAGCUAGUUGGCGGGGUAAAGGCCCACCAAGGCGACGAUCCGUAGCUGGUCUGAGAGGAUGAUCAGCCACACUGGAACUGAGACACGGUCCAGACUCCUACGGGAGGCAGCAGUGGGGAAUAUUGGACAAUGGGCGCAAGCCUGAUCCAGCCAUACCGCGUGGGUGAAGAAGGCCUUCGGGUUGUAAGGCCCUUUUGUUGGGAAAGAAAAGCAGCAGGUUAAUACCCCGCUGUUCUGACGGUACCCAAAGAAUAAGCACCGGCUAACUUCGUG
rnacentral:rRNA from 1 species